rnacentral:rRNA from 1 species
CAGCAGCCGCGGUAAUUCCAGCUCCAAUAGCGUAUAUUAAAGUUGUUGCAGUUAAAAAGCUCGUAGUUGAAUUUCGGGAUCAAUACGUCGGUCGUGCUUAGGUACGUACUGGCGUAAUUGAUUUCUCCCUUCUGACGAACCAUGAUGUCAUUAACUUGGUGUCAUGGGAAAUCAGGACUGUUACUUUGAAAAAAUUAGAGUGUUUAAAGCAGGCUCACGCUUGAAUACAUUAGCAUGGAAUAAUGAAAUAGGACGUUCGAUCCUAUUUUGUUGGUUUUUAGGAUCAACGUAAUGAUUAAUAGGGAUAGUUGGGGGCAUUAGUAUUCAAUUGUCAGAGGUGAAAUUCUUGGAUUUAUUGAAGACUAACUACUGCGAAAGCAUUUGCCAAGGAUGUUUUCAUUAAUCAAGAACGAAAGUUAGGGGAUCGAAGACGAUCAGAUACCGUCGUAGUCUUAACCAUAAACUAUGCCGACUAGGGAUCGGAUGAUGUUAAUUUUUUAAUGACUCAUUCGGCGCCUUACG